GAAUUUUGGACAAUGGGCGCAAGCCUGAUCCAGCAAUGCCGCGUGCAGGAAGAAGGCCUUCGGGUUGUAAACUGCUUUUGUACGGAACGAAACGGUCCGGGUUAAUACCCUGGGCUAAUGACGGUACCGUAAGAAUAAGCAACGGCUAACUCCGUGCCAGCAGCCGCGGUAAUACGUAGGGUGCAAGCGUUAAUCGGAAUUACUGGGCGUAAAGCGUGCGCAGGCGGUUUUGUAAGACAGGCGUGAAAUCCCCGGGCUCAACCUGGGAAUUGCGCUUGUGACUGCAAGGCUGGAGUGCGGCAGAGGGGGAUGGAAUUCCGCGUGUAGCAGUGAAAUGCGUAGAUAUGCGGAGGAACACCGAUGGCGAAGGCAAUCCCCUGGGCCUGCACUGACGCUCAUGCACGAAAGCGUGGGGAGCAAACAGG
rnacentral:rRNA from 1 species